rnacentral:tRNA from 1 species
GCCGAGGUAACUCAGUUGGUAGAGUGCCUGAUUGAAGAUCAGGAGGUCGCGGGUUCGAGUCCCGCCUGAGGCACCA